GAUGAACGCUAGCGGGAGGCUUAAUACAUGCAAGUCGAGGGGCAGCAUGGGACUUCGGUCCUGAUGGCGACCGGCGCACGGGUGAGUAACGCGUACACGACCUACCUUCGAGAGUGGGAUAGCCUCGGGAAACUGAGAUUAAUACCGCAUAGUAUUGGUUUAACUAAUAAGGACCAAUUAAAGAUCCGUCGCUCGAAGAUGGGUGUGCGUAAGAUUAGAUAGUUGGUGAGGUAACGGCUCACCAAGUCAACGAUCUUUAGGGGGCGUGAGAGCGUGGCCCCCCACACGGGUACUGAGACACGGACCCGACUCCUACGGGAGGCAGCAGUAAGGAAUAUUGGACAAUGGAGGCAACUCUGAUCCAGCCAUCCCGCGUGGAGGAUGACGGCCCUAUGGGUUGUAAACUCCUUUUAGAUAGGACGAACCGUACCCUUUUAAGGGUGCCUGACGGUACUAUCAGAAUAAGCACCGGCUAACUCCG
rnacentral:rRNA from 1 species